UCUGUCCCGCCCCAUGUCUCUGAGAGACCAACUGGAACCCUAGCCCAGCCGCCACCAAACCCCACCGCCUAAGGGUGGCGGCCACCACUCCAAUCACCACCAAAAUAACUCCCAUGAACCAGCAGACCACCCCUAUUACGAAUUCAUGAACCAUUUGCCUCGAAUCAGCCUAGAACCUCUCGAAUCUUCAAUCGAGAUGAACUUUAUCCAAACAAGCCCAAACUAAUACUUGAUAGUCUAUGGACCUUCUCCGUCUCAAAUAUAUGGGUGUUUCCCCCCGAAUUUCACCAGGCUGCCAUCAGCCCCAUAUCUAGGGUUCAUGCAUGCUGGGCUGUUUCAAGAUUUUUUCAAGUCGAGUGAGUCCCAGUUAAUGUUACAGGUCUAUGCUCGAUAGCAUAGGCGUAUAAUAUUAACUGGGAUUCAAUUUCGAGUAAAUUCUUUGCAAAGUCUAAAAUCAGUAAGUCACUUUCUCAUUUUAGUUUCAAUUUAGUUUGCUUAUUGUUCUAUAUCUUAAUUAAACGUAGUUUUUAGUUUCCGAAUAUUUUAUUCUUGCAAAGUAUUAAGCUUUCGUCUCAUUUAUUUAAGUUUUGUUUGAUUCACACUUUAUCUAUUUAGUUAGCUGUAAUUUUAAGUUCCUAAUUGUUCUAAUUGGUAGUUGAUUCCGAUACAAUUUUUUCCGUUAAUUAGGUUAAAUCUUAGGCUUUCCAUUUUGUUUUUAGCUUUGAUUUGGUUUGAUUUGAGUGUUAAAUUGUCAGUUUAUUUGUUAGGUUUAGGUUAAUUUCCAUUUUUUCUUUUGCUUUGAUUUUGAAUGCUUAAUUGGUCAAGUAGACUAUUUUUGCUAUAUUCAUCAAUUUAGAUUUGAAGGCUGAUUUCAGUAAUAUCAAUUGCCUGCCCAAUUUCUAUUAAUCAGUAUAAUAUUGAAGCCAGUUGUUUGGGUUAUAGCUGAAUAAUUCAUUUAUUGGUCAACUAUAGUUAUAUUUUAGCUAAGGGUAAAGGGGUUUGGUUAGUUAACUAAGGUUAGUAAAUUUUAGAUUGUUAGAAGGGUAGUUUGGGAAUUGAAAAAGGUAGAAUCUUUAGGAUUUGUAAUUUUAAAUGUAGGGGAAGGGUAAUUUAGGGAUUGAUUAACUAAAAGAGCAUCCUAGAAGCUACUAGAAUAGGAAUUUAGUAUAUAUUUCAGAAAACAUAGGGAGUAACUUGAGGAACAAGUUAGAAAAUUAGGGGUUAAAGUGAAAAUGAGCAGGGGCUGAAAAGAAAAGUAAAAAUUUGACGGUUUCCCUCAUUCUUGCCUAUAUAAAGGCAUCCAAUGCCUUGUGAAAGGGGCUUGAACCUUUUUCAACCUAAAAAUUUCAUGAAAAAUCAGAUUUCUUCUUUCAUUCUAGUUUCAGAUUAGGUUCAGCAAUUAGAUACACAAAAAACACAAAACAAAUCUUACAAAAAAAUCAAAAAGUCAACAAAACUUCACUGUUCCAUUGAGUAUGAAGUGAACUUCACUCACAGCUGUUAAUUUACAAGUUUUGGGUUCCAUUUCUGUUACUUUGGUUUUUUAGAGAUCAGUUGGGUUUGUUUCGAUGAAUUUGGGAUCUAAUUAGUAUAUUGGGGUUUGUUUUGGACUGGUGAAAGUUCACUGGUAUGAAGGCUUAGUUUUGGGUCGAUUUGGUGUCAUUUUGGUGGAUUACUUCUUUCAUUUGGGUUUUAAACAUCUCUGGAUUACUCAGUCUUGUUUAUUUGAGUUGUACUCAAACACUAAGAUACUGCUGUUGUAUAUUUGUGGCUGCUGCUUAUUUCUGAAGUUUUCCCUUCUUUGUUCUUCAAAUUUCCAGGUACAUAUCUGUAUACUUCAUCUAUUUGGAAAUGAAAUGAAGCCCUCUUCAAGUCAUAAUUGCUUAUGUUUGUCAUCAGUGCUCAGUCAACAUUUAUUAGUCCUAAUUUGUUUAAUUUGGAAAUGCUGUUAAAUUGUAACUGGUUAAAGGUUAGAUCCACCAUUUGAAUUGAGUAUAGAUGUGCGUUUGGUUUAGCUUAGUCAGUUGGAAUUGGGUUAAAUCUAUUCGAAGUAAUUGGGACUGUAAGUUAGCUUAACAUUUUGUUAAUUUGUAAAAAUGGACUGUUGGACUUUAUUGGGACUUGUAGGGUUUUGUCUAGUGUAGUUUAGUUAGUUGUUAAUGGGCUAGUAUUUUCAAUUGUUAAUGACACCAUGAAACUAUUUAUUUUGUCAUUUGCUAGUUAUUGGUACUGUUAAAUACGGGUGGUAAAAAUCCCAAUGUCUCUUGCUAGUUGUAUUUCAAGUUGAAUUCAUAGAUCAUCAGUUUGGUUUAGUCAAGUAUCAGUUCAGGUAUGGUUUUGCAUGCUUUAGUUCAGUGUGGGAUAUUUUAAAAGUAACCCAAAUUUCUGUGUUAAUUUGAAAUCAUAUUUCUGCUUAAAUUUGGGAUUAGACCUAUUGAGAUCUUGGCAAACCUUAUAACAAACCUUAUAACCACUCAUGUUUAACGUUAGUAUUUAUUACAUUUUAGUAUACCAUAUUUCAAAAUAUGUACCAAAAUUGAAUUUUAAGNNNN
rnacentral:lncRNA from 1 species